rnacentral:rRNA from 1 species
UACAGAGACUGCAAGCGUUAUUCGGAUUCACUGGGCGUAAAGGGUGCGCAGGCGGCCAAGUGUGUUAGGCGUGAAAGCCCGGGGCUUAACCCCGGAAUUGCACCUAAAACUACAUGGCUAGAGCAUUGGAGAGGGUAGCGGAAUUCACGGUGUAGCAGUGAAAUGCGUAGAUAUCGUGAGGAACACCAGAGGCGAAGGCGGCUACCUGGACAAUUGCUGACGCUCAGGCACGAAAGCCGUGGGGAGCAAAAGGG